rnacentral:ncRNA from 1 species
ACAAAAGCUAUGAAGAGACGAGUAGGUUUAAAAAGGAUUUUUUAGAGAGUGUUGAUGGUGAAAAAACACAAAUUACUUUAAGCUGAAAAAAGACUUGAAGCACUUUGGAGGAUUUUUUUGAUUUCAAAGCGUGCACGUCCUACGUUACAGGACAAAAGUAUGGUAGUACUUUGCGAGGUAUAUGUUGUGAGACAUAUAUAAAAAUGGGUGGUAACACGAAUUUUAACUUUCGUCCCAGAG